rnacentral:lncRNA from 1 species
AUGUACAUAUCUACCUCAAAUACCUUGUACAGCUGCACAGUGAUAAAGUACUACCACUCCCUGAAUAUAGACUCAUUCUUAUGUAUUUUAUUCCUUGUGUUACUAUUUUUUUUUAAACUCUUCAUCAUUGGGAAGAGCAUCGUAAGCAAGCACUUCACUCUAGUCUACACCCGUUGUAUUCGAUUGCUCACCACUGUCCAUGAAAACGUAUUUAUGUGUGUUGUAAAACUAAUGUAUAGUAGUUCCUCUUUACCUCUGCCUCCAACUCCACUUCCACCUCCAACUCUGGGGGGCCAGAGAGUGGCUCUUGUUCAACAGGGGCAGGUGAAAUUUGCACCACCAGUUGUUUUGUCACGUUGCAAGCAUCUUCUCCAGGCUUUGAGUUUUUCCGCGGCCUGCCUCUACCUCGUCUGGGAAUUAUCUCUGUGCCAAGGACACCUUUCAUUUCAAUUGAGGACGAAGGCCUUCCAUCAUCCAUAAAGCCAUUUGAGUCUGAAUCAUUCUCUUCCAAAUGUUCAGCUGCAAUUUUCUUUAAGUAAUGAAGGCCAUUCUUAUCAGAAAUGUCAAUUUCCACACAACCCUCUUGUUCUUGUUGAGGUACAUCAGUAUCAUCAAACGUGGGGUUUUCGCCACCAUUUGGCAAACCCAUCUCUCUGAACUCCUCCAAAAGGGCUUCCUCCAGAGCCGUCUGAGACUUCUUCAGACCCUUCAGUACUGACUGGAAAGUCUUCAGGUAUUGUAGCUUUAACUCGGUUGUCUGUUUCUGCUGCAUGCCACCUUGAAUGAACUUCACAAAAGUUGUGUUUACAGUGUUUGUAGAGUCCACCAGGUUUUUAGCCUUUUUGGCCAUCUCCUCUGGAAUUUGAAGGGUGUUGUAGUUGAACACAACGUGACCAUCCAUGCCACUAUGGUUCCAAUGACCCACGGGAAUGUUUUGAGAAUGCCUUGGAUGGGAGUCAUAAUGUCCAGAUUUUCCCUCGCCCCUGCCCCUCUUGCGGUGGUCUGGCCACAAAUGCCCCAAGUUGUCAAGGACGUUGUCACAAGCGACAACCAGGUCCAGAAGAGGCUCUGGGCUACAUACGUAGCAGUACCACUUACUCUCCUCAUCCAGGAUGCCAGACAACUCUUUUCGCCCCAGGUUCCGCAAAAUGCAUUUCUUACAGAAGGCAUUGGGGCAAAAGUCGCAGCAUAUCAGGUUUCCCCCCUCUGCACACCAUCUGUAAAAAGCAAAUAUAAUAGAUUGAAGUCAUGAUUAACGUAACAACCUGUAUGUUUAUUAACAUCUCAGGAUUUGCUUGGAGCAUCUUGUUGUAUAAGAGAACCACCCCAUCAUACCUGCACUGUUCAUCCAUGCCAUCACAAUCCUUGCUGAUGUCAUCACUUGAGUAAUACUUGAAACAAGACUGAGAAAAAUAAUAAGACAAGAAAAUUAGGAAUGGAGCCCCUAAAAAUGUAGAUGAGCUCAACAACAUUGUUGGAGAAUGCCCAUUAUAACCAAUGUGAUAUUAAGCCUAUUUAUUUCAUUGACCCAUUCUUUGACAGACCCAGGAUCCUCUCACCUUGCAAAUAAGUACUUUGAGUACUGGAUGCUGAUAGAAGGAGUCCCUCUGGAAGUGGUUAACUUGCUGGCCACAGGCUGUACAGCUAACAAUCUCCAAGUGUUCACCACCUACAAACACACAUCAAUCGUCAUUCUGCGGCACACUAUUUUAAGGUAAAGGAUAUCUCUUUUCCCAUUUAUUAACGAAAGCUCACCUCCACGUCUCCUAGAAAAAGCUCUCUUCAGAUUGCCAGAUUUUCCACAACGGAAUUCGGGACCUCUGAAGUCAUCUCUGACAUUUUCCACUGGCUCAGGCCUCACCAGCACAGUGCCUGUGCAUAAGACAUGUAAAAACCCAUGAAUGAAGACCAAAGCAUUUUCAGUUCAUAAAUGCAUUAUUACAUUAUUCAUUUUCAGUGUAAAUAUCUCCGUACAGUUUAAUUGCAAGCAGUAGUAGAAAAACUAACCUUUAGGUAAUCUUGUUACAUCAGGAUAACCGUUUGAAUUGAUGAUCAAGCCGUCAUCAUCAUCAUCAUCACUUUCAUUUGAAGCACCAGAUUCAUCCAGUCCACUGUGUUUAAUCACAACUGAAGGUUUUCUGUAAUACAAGUGACAUCCAUCUAUGCACAUACAUCAAAAUACUGUGUUUUUAUGUUUCCCCAUCCAUAAACAAUGUACAUGAACUAUCAAAUUGGUCAAAAUAUCAGAAGGAAGCCCACCUCCUGGAACCACAUCCAGACUGCUUCAAGGUGUCUGUUGAGGUCUGUUGAGGAUGUAUUCAACAAGAACAUUUUACAAAUAUAUCUUCUAGAUCUGCAUCAACACUGAAUACUCUUUGGUCUAUAACCGCAUAAACGGAUACUUCUCAUAAUACCUCAAGAGGGGUUCGGUCUGUUGAGUGUGGCUCCACACAGUCCUUGUUUGUCAUACCUGUGAAUUAAAAAUCAGUAGGCAAUUGUGUGUCACCACUAAUAUUACUACAAACACCACCAUGCCCGAGUUAAAGUUUCACUUAUUAAAGUUCUCACCAUCAGGACUUUCUGUCACCAGUCUGUCCUCAUCAUCCUCUGGAGCAUGAGCCAAGAAUUCAUGCAGUUUGGUCACCAACACAUCGAGCUUGCUCGUGCCAGGAGGAACGCUAAAAAUAACGAAUAGAAUGACCAGUAACUAAACAUAUGUCCUCAAUCAUGCGAGUUUCUUUUCUUUCAACCNUGCCUAACCAAAAAGUGUGUGGAUAAGAUAUAGCUAUGAUGUGGACAUAUCUGUCCUUGUGCGCAUCGGUCCAUUUCCUUCAGGCACAGUUAUUAUCAUGAUUCAAUACUUGGCUAGUAAUGCAUUCCAGAUCAUUGACAAAACAAUUUAGUUAGCUAACGUUAGCUAGCUAAUAUUCGCUAGUAGCUAUCAUACUUAAAUAUCAAACAAAAUGCAUAAGUUUGGGUACGAUAUGUGGCCAUCUUGAUGCACGUACUAAUUUAAUGUAAAUCUUACAAGUAGGACUAGCAGCUUCAAUGUGGGAACUGACUAACUAGAUACUUUAGGACUAUCUGCAGCAAAUAAACUAGCUAGUUAGCUAUUGCUUGCCCGAUUAGCUUGCUCAGGCAGCUGGAGACCUUUGCUAUAUUAACGUUACCUGAGCAUCUCUGAGGACAUCUUGAGCUGGUCAAAUGCACCUUGUGCAAACGGCGCACUAUAUGGGCUUAUUCCCCCCAAAAUUUCACAAUUACCCUCAUUAUUGCAAGUAAUUUUUACUCAGAUUUCUAACACAAUGCCAGACACCGACAGAGGCGCUAGCUAAGCAAAAAUGGCGCUGUUUCUCCGAUGCCUUCGUCAUUGCGACUGCGCAGACUUGAAAAUGGGCGCGUUCCAGUCUGUAGGCCUACAACAGAAAGAACAAUGAGCUAGUUAUAAAAAAUAUAUAUUUGGGCGUACUGUAUCUCGGUAUAAAGACUGUAGCUGUGUUCGAAUACUCAAACUGUAUACUACCUACUAUUAGUUAAUUU